AUGUCCUGCAGCACAGUCCGGGCGAGCGGAGAGAAGACAGCGGAGCUGCAGACAGGCAGCGGGGCUGCACGCGCGGCGCGGCGCGGCGUGGCGCUGCGCCCGGACCAGAGGCGCGGCUGUCGGCUGGAGAGCGCGCGGACUACCGGAGCUAUGGAGCGCAGCUGUGCGCGGAUGGGAGCCGGCGCCGGGAGCGCUAAACCCAGACUGACCAACGCCGCCUGUUCGGAUGAAGAGAAAGUCGGAUAUAGAGGAGUUAGGGACGAGCAUCCUGUUUAGAAUUUCUGCCGAGGAAGACGAGAAGAGGACAACUCCCAAAACUGGCAGAUCCAUCCCGACCUGGUGUAGCGGGGGGCUUACAAGUGGUCCGAGGGAGCCGCCCCACUAGUUUCUCCUUUUUUUUUGUCCCCCUCUUUUUUCCCUCCAAACAACGGCUCUAAUUCAGGAUGAUUGUGGAUGCAGGGCCAUUCCCGGCUGGCUGGGGCAUGCUUUCAGAGCGCUGCAGGGCCCCGCUGUUCCUUUAUUAUCAUAAGCAGAUUAGAGGUAGCGGGGAACACACUCAGAUGCAGAUAGCAGCCGAGCGGCCCAUUUCAACCUUGCAUUAUAAUGGACCGAGCUGCAUGUGUCGCCUCUCGCAGCCUAUUAAGCACAAGAUGAAUCUUAUGUAAGGUUGCCGGGGCCCGCAUAAUGAGAGCGCGGGGGCUCCGCUCCUCCAUUUAAUAUCGAAUGACUAAAACAAAAUAAUAAGGGCUGAUCUAUUCGCUUUCAAUUAUGAUUUAAUCUAGGAAAGCUAAAUUAAAUUAUUUCAGGUGUGUGGAGAUCC
rnacentral:lncRNA from 1 species